GAGUUUGAUCGUGGCUCAGAUUGAACGCUGGCGGCAGGCCUAACACAUGCAAGUCGAGCGGAUGAAGGGAGCUUGCUCCUGGAUUCAGCGGUGGACGGGUGAGUAAUGCCUAGGAAUCUGCCUGGUAGUGGGGAUAACGUCCGGAAACGGGCGCUAAUACCGCAUACGUCCUGAGGGAGAAAGUGGGGGAUCUUCGGACCUCACGCUAUCAGAUGAGCCUAGGUCGGAUUAGCUAGUUGGUGGGGUAAAGGCCUACCAAGGCGACGAUCCGUAACUGGUCUGAGAGGAUGAUCAGUCACACUGGAACUGAGACACGGUCCAGACUCCUACGGGAGGCAGCAGUGGGGAAUAUUGGACAAUGGGCGAAAGCCUGAUCCAGCCAUGCCGCAUGUGUGAAGAAGGUCUUCGGAUUGUAAAAGCACUUUAAGUUGGGAGGAAGGGCAGUAAGUUAAUACCUUGCUGUUUUGACGUUACCAACAGAAUAAGCACCGGCUAACUUCGUGCCAGCAG
rnacentral:rRNA from 1 species